CACGCCGUAAACGAUGAGUGCUAGGUGUCGGGGGUCGAACCUCGGUGCCGCAGUUAACGCAUUAAGCACUCCGCCUGGGGAGUACGUUCGCAAGAAUGAAACUCAAAGGAAUUGACGGGGACCCGCACAAGCAGCGGAGCAUGUGGUUUAAUUCGAAGCAACGCGAAGAACCUUACCUGGACUUGACAUCCCUCGGACAGCUUUUUAACAGAAGCCUUCCCUUCGGGGACUGAGGUGACAGGUGG
rnacentral:rRNA from 1 species